AGAGUUUGAUCCUGGCUCAGAACGAACGCUGGCGGCGUGGAUAAGACAUGCAAGUCGAACGCGAUUUUCUCGGUUAGCAAUAACUGAGAAAAUUGAGUGGCGAAUGGGUGCGUAACACGUGGGAAUUUAUCCGGGAAGUGGGGGAUAGCUUGCCGAAAGGCAAAUUAAUACCGCAUAUGCCCGUAAGGGCAAAGUGGGGGACCGCAAGGCCUCACGCUAUCGGAGGAGCCCGCGCCCUAUCAGCUAGUUGGUGAGGUAAUGGCUCACCAAGGCUUAGACGGGUAGCUGGUCUGAGAGGACGACCAGCCACACUGGAACUGAGACACGGUCCAGACACCUACGGGUGGCAGCAGUCGAGGAUUUUUCUCAAUGGGGGCAACCCUGAAGGAGCGACGCCGCGUGGAGGAUGAAGGGCUUCGGCUCGUAAACUCCUGUCACCGGCGAACAAGGCAUCCGAAUUAAUAAAUCGGAUGCUUGAUGGUAGUCGGAGAGGAAGGGGCGGCUAACUCUGUGCCAGCAGCCGCGGUGACACAGAGGCCCCAAGCGUUGUUCGGAUUUACUGGGCGUAAAGGGUGUGUAGGGG
rnacentral:rRNA from 1 species